rnacentral:ncRNA from 1 species
GGGAGCCGGAUGAGCCGAGAGGUUCACGUCCGGUUCUGGGAGAGCCUCGGGGUGUGAUUCCCCGGGGCUACUCGCU